AUUGAACGCUGGCGGCAGGCCUAACACAUGCAAGUCGAGCGAGCGGCGGACGGGUGAGUAAUGUCUGGGGAACUGCCUGAUAGAGGGGGAUAACUACUGGAAACGGUGGCUAAUACCGCAUACUAUCGGAUGAACCCAUAUGGGAUUAGCUAGUUGGUGGGGUAAAGGCUCACCUAGGCGACGAUCCCUAGCUGGUCUGAGAGGAUGAUCAGGCACACUGGAACUGAGACACGGCCCAGACUCCUACGGGAGGCAGCAGUGGGGAAUAUGGCACAAUGGGCGCAAGCCUGAUGCAGCCAUGCCGCGUGUAUGAAGAAGGCCUUCGGGUUGUAAAGUACUUUCAGCGGGGAGGCGUUACCAGCAGAAGAAGCACCGGCUAACUCCGUGCCAGCAGCCGCGGUAAUAC
rnacentral:rRNA from 1 species